rnacentral:rRNA from 1 species
CACGUAGGGGGGCGAGCGUUGUCCGGAUUUAUUGGGCGUAAAGAGCUCGUAGGCGGGUUUCGUAAGUCGGAUGUGAAAACUCCAGGCUCAACUUGGAGACGCCAUUCGAUACUGCGAUGACUUGAGUCCGGUAGGGGAGUGUGGAAUUCCUGGUGUAGCGGUGAAAUGCGCAGAUAUCAGGAAGAACACCAAUGGCGAAAGCAGCUCUCUGGGACGGUAUUGACGCUGAGACGCGAAAGCGUGGGGAGCGAACAGG